UAUAUACUCCCUCCGUCCGGAAAUACUUGUCAUCAAAAUGGAUAAAAGGGAUGUAUCUAGAUGUAUUUUAGUUUUAGAUACAUCCCUUUUUGUCCAUUUUGAUGACAAGUAUUUUCGAAUGAAGGGAGUAUAAU
rnacentral:pre_miRNA from 1 species